GGGGGCGCCACUUCAAGCCUCGUGUGGACAUUCCAACCGAAAGGAAAUGAAAGAAACCACAGCCAGAAAGCAUAAAGCCUCUAACGGUCAGCAAAACGUUCCUGGAGACUCCUAGCAAGCUUCCGCUUCCCUUACUCCGGUUGCUCCACAAAGUAAUCGUUACAAGCGACCGUCAGAGCUGCCACCAUGACCACAAACUCAUUAAAAUCCACUUCGUUGUCCUUGUUAGCGUCCAGGUCCUGCAUUAUCUUAUCCACCAACUGGGGGUCCUUUUGACACUAAAAAGAAAAAGAAAAUUCCUAACUUGGAGGCCUGGAGGGUCGUGACAACUGAACUUCCGUUUGCAUGCAAGCUUUCGUUCUCCUAAAGAGUCUAUUUACAAGAAGACCCAGGCCAGCCUAGAGUCUUAACCCUGCCUCAGCUCCACAGACACCAGCUCAGACCCAAAGGGCCAGGAACGCAGAGAAAACAGCUGCAGAUUCAAGUGAAUUAUGGGUGCUGGAAAUGCAUUUACUGGAGACCACGGGCAGAAGGCCGGGACACUGAGGGACACUACAGUGAAACAGGCAGAGGACCAGGAUACCUGAGGAUAGUUGGGCGACAUAUAAACAGAGGCUUCAACGUCAAAGGGGACAAUGAGUGGCCCUAUCAUCUACCAUCAGCAGGCUUCGGAGCAAUCGUGUAACAUUUAAUUUAUCCCAUGGGAAGAGUCGUCUUUGCCCACGUGGUAUGAAGAUGUGCUAACGCAUUUGAAGGUGCUUAGCACCGAGGUAGCUGGGUACGGCCAGUACAAAUAAGCAGUGGACACCUGAAUAGCUUUGAAUUCCAGAUUAAACAACACGCACUUUUCACUAAGUGGGUCCCAAGUAUUAUAUGGGGUACAAACUAUUUUAUCUCAUAACCGUACUUAGUACAAUGUCUGAAACGCACAAAGAGAAGUAUCCAGGAGCCAAUUUCCUUCCGCUGUGGCUAGGUUCCCCAAGGGUUGACAAUUACAUUGAGGUUUGGUGAGGUUUUAAUCCACCAUUCAAUAUUCUGGUGCAACAAUAACAGAUUCGGCUAGUUAUACACAGAGACGUCUUGAUAAUUAAUACUGGCUAGCUAUACCUGGGAGAAAGGAAAAUGGCUCCUGCCAGUGUAUGCAGGAGACAAGGGGCUCCAGGAUUUACUUCUCCAGCACUUAGGGUCAUGGAGCAAAUUAUGGACAGAAUGUUCAUAACGCCUGUCCCCAAAGCCACCCCCAUCUAACACCUGUCCCCAAAGUCACCCCCAUCUAAUGCCAGUCCCCAAAGCCACCCCCAUCUAACAAUGUCCCCAAAGCCACCCCAUCUAAUACUGUCCCCAAAACCACCCCAUCUAACACUGUCCCCAAAGUCACCCCCAUCUAAUACUGUCCCCAAAACCACCCCAUCUAACGCUGUCCCCAAAGUCACCCCCAUCUAAUACUGUCCCCAAAGCCACCCCAUCUAGUACUGUCCCCAAAGCCACCCCAUCUAGUACUGUCCCCAAAGCCACCCCAUCUAACACUGUCCCCAAAGCCACCCCCAUCUAACAUCUGUCCCCAAAGCCACACCAUCUAUGCACCAGCAGGCAGUGGACUCACUGUGAGGAAUUCUGUGAGCUCUCGCUGUAAGAGCAUCUUCAGCUCCCCCUUGUUGAGCUUGAACCUGUCCCCCUCCUUGCAAGAGUAACGGUGGAAGAUGCGGAUCAUCGUCUCCAUAGCCAUCUCCAGCUGGGUGGGCAUGCUGGCAGUGGAGUGGGCGACUCCUGGAGCAGGAUGCCAAGCCACGGGGAAGGCACUCGGCCAAAGAAAGCAGAUGGGGACACGUCAACUCUUUUGUGAAAACAGAACACACCGGUGACAGUUCUUAAACAGUCAUAAUGGUCCGCUAAAGGCGGUGUCCCGCCCAUUCUAGAGCAAGGUGGUGUAUUUUUCUCCUCCCUACUCCCACUCCUCUGACCUGUGUACCUCCAGCAGUUCAUAGCUUUACGCCAAACUGGCCCAGGGCCGUGUUAGAACACAGGCUUGAAAAAGAAAGAAAUAAAGCAAAAGAAAAGGAAAAUCCUUUACUUCCUACCUGUUCGGCGGGAUGCGGCUGUCUACAGGUGUUCACGGUUACCCUCUGAGCACGGAUCUCUGGGUUUCCACCUGACACCCCUGUCCCCAACAGAUGACAAUUAUCGGAGACAAGAGAGUCAACUGAGGAUGCCUCUGAGUCUGUUUUUAAUCAGCAGAAUGAACAGGUGUGCACUGCUGCCCCCAGGGCCAUGGAGGAAGGGGAGUGUGUGCUGGGUCUUAGGAGGGUGGAGUGGAAAGGGAAAACCCUCUGCUCUGCCCAUGUGGGAAUAUGGGUAGAAAUGCAGCUUGUUGCUAGGAAGCUGAUGGCUAGGAUGGAGUCUAAAAAUAAAGGUUCGAAGAAGAAACACCAGUUCAAACCUAGACACGCCUCGGCAAUGCGCUUGCAAGGACAAGGAAGCAGACUCAACAGACGAGUUACACUGACCCGAUGGAGUGCUCACCGUCAGAAAUAAAAGCAAUAGAAACUGCUUGGGAAAAUGCCCUGUCCUGAAGAAUCCAUGUAGCUGAGAGUGGGGGCUCCUGUGUGCUACCCCAGUUCCUCAAAAUUAGAAGUAGGAAGACCAUGAGUUUGAGUGUGUUCCAGACUGGCACAUGUUAAAGGGAAACCUGGUAUUCAAAGACAUAAAAGAAGAAGAGAAUGAGAGAGAGAGAGAGAGAGCAUGUGUGUGCACGUGUGUAUGUGUGCAUGCACAUGCGUGUUCACGCUCUCAAUCUUGUGUCUGCCAAAUGAGUCACUAAGGACUCAACUAGUACCUAGAGCACAUUAUGGGUAACAAGGCAGAACAAGGCUGAGCAUAUGUCUUCCGGGUUCGUGUGCUUACCACCGACUUUAGGCUUAUGUGUAGGAACGCAUUGCCCCGUGUCUGUGGAGAAAAGCUGUGUAUGUAGGAAUGUAUGGGAGAUCCUCAAGUAAGAAAAACUUUAAGGAGGGGAAUGCGGGGGCAAUGGCUCUCGAGCAUGAGAGCUUGAGUUGGAUCCCUAACACCCCUGGGUGUGGUGGCCAAAAGAACCUUAUCUUGAAGCAAAGCCUACCGUUAUUUUUCCUGGACUGUGUUAGAUGUGAAGAACACUGGCAUCUUCUUUUAGGUUCCGUCCUCUUGCUGAGACUGUCCCCAAGGCUUUGUGGCCAUGUUCCCUCAGCUUUGAAUGCUGUCUUACAGUCCAGCUCUGAAAUAUUGCUCCUGGAGUACUCUUGGACACUUCUAUCAUCUUUGAAUCUUUACCCCAGAUGUCUGCUAACGUCAGGAUGACCUGUAUCCUCCGCCUGGACCUCUUUUUGCUGCCAAGACCCACAGGCUUUUCAAACUUGAUUAGCAUCAGACUACAACACCUACCCUCGUCCCCACUGAUGACUGAAGGCAAAUAUCACCUUCCAGCUACUUGCCUGCAUUCCCCCCAACUCCCUACUCCUCCUGGGGGAACCUCCUCUCUUUUUUAGCAUACUGCUUUGGGGACAUUCCAGUAAUUGCUGCCAUACCUUCUCCACACUUAGAAUGAGUACCUUGAUCCCAGGCUCCGCCAUGCCUGGUCCAUUUUUGUAUUUUACAAUACUUAGCACAAAAUUAGGCACACGGAAUUACCCCCACAAUGGUAGCCACCUGUGUGAAGCUGAGGCAGGAGGAUGGUAAAUCCAAGGAUAUCCUGAGCCACAUGGGAGCAAACAAAUCUUGACCUGAACCUCACCCAGUCACAUUGGCCAUGUGGAAAGCAAGCACAUAAAGUGACUGCGGGCGAGUGGCAGUCACCCAUGCCACAGAUCCGAACCUUAGCUCAUGUCCGUUGUCAGGACCAGCUACCACCAACUAGAAGCUCACCCCUCUUUUGGCCAGAAUGCUUAAAGCAAGGUCUCGGUGGUAGCUAAACUUCAAAAAGAUCCUUGCCUCCUGGUCGUUCUAACUCCGCGUGGUCCUCUUAAGGUAGGUUAAAAGGGAAAAGUUAAAGAGAAGAGGGAAGAAAGAAAAAUCUUCUUCCCAAAGUCUGGCUCAAGUCUCUCAUCAGCUGGGCGUCAAGAUUUCUGGCACAGACCUAGAGAGAUGGCUCAGCUGGUAAAGUGUUUGCUUUGUGAGCAUAAGAACCAAGGAUUCGAUCCCUGGAUGCCACGUUAGAACAAAGAGAAGGAGAAGUGUGUGAAUCCCAGCGUAGUCAACAGCACCUGUGAAAGUUACCUAAGGAGACUUUUCAAGGAGAAAUUUCAAGUAAGAAUGUUAACAAACCAUACUUGCAGUCCGAGAGUAUAUGGUUUGCUCGCCUUCCCCAGCUGUCAGCUUAAAUUUUCAAGGAAUCUCACAAGAAAGCCCACUUAUAAUAAAGCACCCAUCGUAACUCCCUUGAGCAACCCUUGGGCUCAUAGUUUUAGUUUAUCGGAUUACAUUCCUCGGCGCUCUCAGGGUAGCCCUAUAGUCUUACUGGAAAAAGAGGGAAAGAGGAAAAGCAAGUUUCUUAGGAGCCAUCUGAGAUGUGACUUGAGAGCCACCAAACCAUACAUGCCACUGUUACUAUAUAUAUGCUACAUAUACUAACAUAUAUGUUGCUACAUAUGUGCUACUGUUACAAGAAUCCCUCUGAGAGGCUCCCAUCUGCCACUCUUGAAUGUAUCUAGUCCUCUCCCUGAGAGCCUCUUAAAUGCCUUGAAUACAUUUCAGUGCCUUUGUGCCCUCUCGCCCUGAAAUUCUUUCUGGAUGAAGUCACAGAAUUCAGCUGCACCCGAGUGGAGAUCAGUGAAAAGAAUUCCUCAGGUUGCCAUGGGCAGCUCUGGCCAGCAGCUCUCUGCCACUUAGACCCUCAUGCAUAGACUGUGUUCCUGACUCUGAUGGGAAUAGGAAAUACAUCCUGCUUUGCUUCUGCUUGGAUCUCUCCAUCUGGCUGCAGUCAGCUGCUCAUGAGGUUUUGUGGAGAGAUUCCUGAGGCCAAGAACUCAGGUCUGUGAAGAGCAAAGGCGGAGGUAGACCCCCAACCACAGCCUUUUGGGAAACCGGAAACCAGGAUCCCAACUAUACAGCUCCUGAAUUCUCGUUCUUCUGUUCUAUGGCAAUAAAGAACUAAUGCCAUCCAUUGGAUCUUUAGAGUCCUUUAUAAAUGAUUCUUGGAGAAAUGGGGCAAUGUAAAUUGAUACCCUUUUAAGAGAAUUGUGUUUGGAACUAAAGGAUGACUAAUGGGAUUUUCAUGUGGCUUCAGAAAGAACCUGCCAGCCCUUGCAGGAGAGGGCGCUGUGUCCUAAACAAGGGAAGUGAAAAACAGUAUUUAUGUCUGUUGGUGUUUUGUUUUCUGAAGUGUGGUUUCUCUGUGUAGCCCUGGCUGUUCUGGAACUCACUUUGUAGACCAGGCUGGCCUCGUACUCACAGAGAUCCACCUGCCUCAGCCUCCCAAGUGCUAGGCUUAAGGCAUGCGCUACCAUGGCCAGCUUGGAAAAUGAAAAUUUGAAUAAAUGGGUUUUCAGCAAGUCACCUCCUUGGCAUCUACUUUAUUUUACGUGUAGGAGUGAUUUGCCUGUAUAUAUGUGAGUGCAUCAUGUUCCUGCCCGGUGCAGGUACAGGCCAGAAAA